ACCUCCAGAGAGCUGGGAUUACAGAUGUCAGUGCACUCCACCACCUCAAGAUUAUAUGGUGUUGAGGAUCAAACUCAGGGCUUUGUGAAUGCUGGAUGUAUGCUGCAAGUUUGUUGUGCCUUCUUAUGAAGAAGCCCAGGAAUGACAUUUAUCUGAAAGGACCUGCAGUUUCCUGAGAAACACUAGCCACCUGUGGAGCAACGGAACUGAUUCUGCUGAGAAGCUUCCAGCCUUUGGGGGAAGGGUUUUCCUCUGCCUAUA